GAAAUGCGAUAAGUAGUGUGAAUUGCAGAAUUCAGUGAAUCAUCGAAUCUUUGAACGCACAUUGCGCCCCUUGGUAUUCCGGGGGGCAUGCCUGUUCGAGCGUCAUCUACACCCUCAAGCUCUGCUUGGUGUUGUGCGUCUGUCCCGCCUCGGCGCGCGGACUCGCCCCAAAUCCAUUGGCAGCGGUCCUUGCCUCCUCUCGCACAGCACAUUGCGCUUCUCGAGGGGCUCCGGCCCGCGUCCAACAAGAAAACAUUACCGUCUUUGACCUCGGAUCAGGUAGGGAUACCCGCUGAACUUAAGC
rnacentral:misc_RNA from 1 species